rnacentral:ncRNA from 1 species
GCAAAGAAAGGGCAAACCUAUCGAAAGAUAGGGGCGCAAAGUUACGGGUCUAAACAGUCGAUAGACUGCAUGAUCGCCUAACUGCCUAA